rnacentral:rRNA from 3 species
UUUAACUGAAGAGUUUGAUCAUGGCUCAGAUUGAACGCUGGCGGCAGGCUUAACACAUGCAAGUCGAG